rnacentral:lncRNA from 1 species
CUGGUUUCUAGUUUUGAUAGUAAUUUGAAUUACACAUACAAUUGAGGUUUAAAUAAUGACAAGUGUAAUACAUCUGAAAUAUUUGGAAGUGAUUACUUGUAUGACGUUGCUGGGAAACUUGUAACAUUUGAUGACUUAAACAACCAGUGUAGAGCUAUCUCCACAAGUACCUGAUGGUCCAGCGCCUAAAACCACGACUUUUUUACCAGCAAAGGUUUCCGGUACUCUGUAAUCGUGGCUAUGCAAUACACGUCCUUUGAAUGAAGUGUGACCCUCAAGUUCAGAUCCUCAACCUCCACUGACCACUUGCCCAUAUUAUCACCAUCCAAUGGUUUGACUAGUACCACAUGAUGAUGAAACUGUAAUUCGAUGUAAAAGGAAAGAUUAGCUCUGACAAGUAUUCAGCGGGAUUAAUUCAAUAUUUUCAGCGGUCUUUCAAUGGG